rnacentral:rRNA from 1 species
CACCAGACUCCUACGGGAGGCAGCAGUGGGGGAUGUUGCACAAUGGGGGAAACCCUGAUGCAGCGACGCCGCGUGGGUGAAGAAGCGCCUCGGCGCGUAAAGCCCUGUCAGCAGGGAAGAAAAUGACGGUACCUGAAGAAGAAGCCCCGGCUAACUACGUGCCAGCAGCCGCGGUAAUACGUAGGGGGCAAGCGUUAUCCGGAUUUACUGGGUGUAAAGGGGGCGCAGACGGCAAUGCAAGCCAGGAGUGAAAGCCCGGGGCCCAACCCCGGGACUGCUCUUGGAACUGCAUGGCUGGAGUACAGGAGGGGCAGGCGGAAUUCCUAGUGUAGCGGUGAAAUGCGUAGAUAUUAGGAGGAACACCGGUGGCGAAGGCGGCCUGCUGGACUGUGACUGACGUUGAGGCCCGAAGGCGUGGGGAGCAAACAGGAUUAGAUACCCCAGUAA